UGUUGCAUGUAAUCUUCUUGCCAUUUUUUUGUUCCUCAAAUAACUGUUUUUGAUUUUCAAGAACCGCAUGGUAGUGAGCUCUUGAUUCUUUAGCAAAUUCUGCCUUCAAGCUGCUAUAUACACCAGACAUGUUUGAUGCUAUGUGUUGCCUGUAGAUACCUAGCAAUUCUUCCAUUUUAUCUUCACUUAGGGAGUUGGAGCCACCGGGAGUAGAGCUAGACCCAAAUACAGGUGAAGAUGUAGAAAUACCGAGAAUCAUCAUUUCUUGGACAUAUAUAUUGUCUGGGACUUGUUGUAUUGCAUUAUCCAGUACUCCAUUUAUAAUCCCAUCUAAUCUACGGUGUCCAUUAUCCACUAACAAUGAAAGAGUUCUGUACCCAAAAGUUUGUAAUUCUUCUUCAUUAGGCUGUAG
rnacentral:lncRNA from 1 species